CACGGGGGGAGCAAGCGUUGUUCGGAAUCACUGGGCGUAAGGGGCGUGUAGGCGGUCAGGUAAGUGAGACGUGAAAUGCCCCGGCUUACCCGGGGACCUGCGUCUCAUACUGCUUGGCUUGAGUACGGGAGAGGGUGUGGGAAUUCCUGGUGUAGCGGUGAAAUGCGUAGAUAUCAGGAGGAACACCGGUGGCGAAGGCGCACACCUGGCCCGAUACUGACGCUGAGGCGCGAAAGCUAGGGGAGCAAACGGG
rnacentral:rRNA from 1 species